rnacentral:rRNA from 1 species
AUUGAACGCUGGCGGCAGGCCUAACACAUGCAAGUCGAACGAGUGGCGGACGGGUGAGUAAUGUCUGGGAAACUGCCUGAUGGAGGGGGAUAACUACUGGAAACGGUAGCUAAUACCGCAUACCAUCAGAUGUGCCCAGCGGGGAUUAGCUAGUUGGUGGGGUAACGGUCCACCAAGGCGACGAACACUAACUGGUCUGAGAGGAUGACCAGCCACACGUGAACUGUGACACGGUCCAGACUCCUACGGAAGGAAGCAGUGGGGAAUAUUGCACAAUGGGCGCAAGCCUGAUGCAGCCAUGCCGCGUGUAUGAAGAAGGCCUUCGGGUUGUAAAGUACUUUCAGCGGGGAGGCGUUACCCGCAGAAGAAGCACCGGCUAACUCCGUGCCAGCAGCCGCGGUAAUUC